CAAAAUAACUAACUAUGUUAACGAUACCAAAAUGGUACGGAGCAAUUAAUGGUAAGUGAAGAGUAUACAUAAACAUACCCUAUAGCCCAUGUGGGUUGCUGCUGAAGGUAAACAACAGAAUAGAUCUGAAACAUUAUUAUAUGAUAUGUUUAUAAUAAUUGUGUAAUAUAAUUAUAUAUGGAACUGGUAAUCUAAGUUUGUAGAAACAAUAAAUAAGAGAUGCAUAUACUUUCAUGUAGAGAUCCCUUCAAAGUGAUGCUCACAAGCGUGUU